GACCCCAGGUCAGGCGGGGCCACCCGCUGAGUUUAAGCAUA
rnacentral:rRNA from 1 species